CAGUAGCCACGGGAAAACGAGGGGUGCAAGCGUUAUUCGGAUUGAUUGGGUGUAAAGGGUGUGCAGACGGCUUAUUAAGUCACUUGUUAAAUUCUUCGGCCUAACUGAAGGUCUGCAAGUGAUACUGAUGAGCUAGAGGGUGGAAGAGAGAAGUGGAAUUCUCGGAGUAGCGGUAAAAUGCGUAGAUCUCGAGAGGAACACCAAUGGCGAAGGCAGCUUCUUGGUCCAUUCCUGACGUUCAUACACGAAAGCGUGGGGAGCAAACAGGAUUAGAUACCCCCGUAGUCCCUGUCUCUUAUAC
rnacentral:rRNA from 1 species